GGGGUUGUGUCUUAGUGGUAGAGUACUUGCCUAGCAUGCAUGAGGCACUGGGUUCAAUACUCAGCACCA
rnacentral:tRNA from 1 species